rnacentral:piRNA from 1 species
UCUGUUUUAAGUGGGUUCUGUUCUUGACU